rnacentral:lncRNA from 1 species
UUCCUGAGUAGCUAGGACUACAGAUGCACACCACCACGCCUGGCUAAUUUUUGUAGAGACAGCCUCUUGCUAUGUUUCUUAGACUUGUCUCGAAUUCCUGGGCUCAAAUGAUCCACCAGCCUCAGCCUCCCAAAGUGCUGGGAUUGCAGGCAUGAGCCACUGCGCCUGGUCUAAAAACACCCUUUUCAUUCAGCACUAUAGGUUUUAAAAGGCAGUGUUCCCAUAAGAAAUAAUGGCAAAGAAAGGAACUCCCAGUCACAUUCAGCAAACCUGUUUUCCCAGCUACAUUCAUGCACUGGUUGAUGCAGAUACAUCAGACAGAUGGUAUACAUCUCUUCGUGACUCAAUCUGCUGAACGAUGCAACUGUCACAGUAUCCAACAGGGUCUUACUCUGUCACCUGGCCUGGAGUACAGUGGCAC